AGCUGUACAUUGUCGUUGGUGUCUCCGGCUCUGGCUCCGGUUCCGGCCCGCAAUCGAGGUUCACGCCGAACAGCCGGAGCCGCCGAGGCGGUGCUGAUGCUGCACUGCAACUCCUGUUGUCUCUGUCCCAUUGAGAUUCUCCUGCAAUUGUUCAGCAGAAAUGGUGUAAGAGGACCAGAGAAACGGGAAUGUGAUUAUUAUCUCACGUGGCAUUAGUCUUAUCUGUCCCGCUUUCUGUUCCUGGGGCUUCAAGUUCCCAAGCGCCAAAAUGUUCGAACAUUGGAACUGGAAAUAGGAUCAAGAUUGGACCUGCACAAAGAUCUGCCUUCUCCAAUUUCUAAAAGCAUUUUGAAUCAGACGGCUUGCAGCUCGGCACCUGUGCUCUACGCGAUCGUCGCCGAGGCUGACUAAAACUUUCUGCGCCACGCACGUCCAGGACUGCCGCAUCUCUGCGCCUGCGAUCUCUCUCACUGGACUACUGGACUUCGGCGCAAGCCGAUCUUCUGAAUUCUGAGGCCGACCCGGGCCUUUUCUUUCUUUCUUUCUUUCUUCCUCGCGCACUGAGGAGCGAGAUGUUGGGUGCUCAGCUGGUGACGUGACGGGGACGAGAAGGAAGGCGAUGAUGGGGAGAGGAACUGGUAUGCUGGGCGUCGUGGCAGCUUCGGUGGCGCAGGAGCAGGGGGGCAAAGCGGACGCAACGAAGCGCUUGUGGCGAGGCGUGACCGUGUGAUUAGUGCCCGGAUCUCUGCGUGCGUGUGCAUGACACUGUGAUGGUGUGUGUGGUGGGCUGAUGGCUUGGUUGCUGCCCUUUGAGAAGUGCGUACUCCGAGUCCCGGAGCCAAUUGGUUUGAGGUCCACACUGACCGAGCCGGCAUCACGCCACGCGUUGGGAGUCCUCUCUUGCUGCGUCGAACAGUGAACACAGUGCUGCUGCAA